GUCAACUCCCCCGCCCUGAAGGGCGGAGCUUGUGAAAGCAGGCUAGGUUGACCAGGGGGCCGGAGUGAUCCGGCAGACGUUUGCAACAGGUCGUUGAGACCCACUCCGGGAUGCUUCCUCAGUCCCGGACACUGGAAGGUGAGAAUCAUGCUGGCGAAAGGGAAAGCGCCGAAGGUUCCAGCCGCCAUCGCAAGAUGGGAGCCGGUUGCAGACAACCCCGAGGGGAGAUCGC
rfam:Acidithiobacillus ferrooxidans ATCC 23270, complete genome.